UACAUGUGGGGCGAGCGUUGUUCGGAAUUACUGGGCAUAAAGGGUGCGUAGGCGGGUUUUUAAGUCAGGGGUGAAAUCCUGGAGCUCAACUCCAGAACUGCCUUUGAUACUGAAGAUCUUGAGUCCGGGAGAGGUGAGUGGAACUGCGAGUGUAGAGGUGAAAUUCGUAGAUAUUCGCAAGAACACCAGUGGCGAAGGCGGCUCACUGGCCCGGUACUGACGCUGAGGCACGAAAGCGUGGGGAGCAAACAGG
rnacentral:rRNA from 1 species